GAGCUCUGAUAAUAGGGGCAAGCAAAUACCCAUUGUUUCUGAGCUACAGACAUACUUCCUUGCAAUUCAGAUUGAAUUUUUUUCCAGAGUCAUUUAUAAAUCAUUGUGAGAAGUUUGUGUUAUUUGCAACUUGUUGAGGAAACAGAAGAGUAGACUGUAACCAUAAGACACUAAGAUUAGAACCUGAACUAAACACUAUAAAAAAAAAACCAACAAAUGAAGUAACUUUGCAGAGGGCCAGGCUUGAAUAGCACCAUGUAUUAUUGCCCUCUACAUUCUCCCCAAAGCACAAACUCUUGAAUACUCACUCUUACAGAAUCAUAGAAUUCUGUGUGGUGAACAAGUCCUAUUUCUAGAAGCCCUCAUGUACCAUUUAUAGCCCACAAAGCUUAUUUUCUAGGAAUGGUAAAUGCUGACGGCAUUUGGCUCCCAGGCUGUGUGGUAUGAGGAGCUGAGGUUCUGAAGCUUCACAACACUGGGAUCUUGCACAUGUGGCAUCCAGGGGAAGAGUUUACACAACAGGCAUUGCUGGAAGGCUGCAGGGACAGAGCAGAGCUGCUGCACUGAGAUUUGGGGCCCGUGUAGCAAGGUCCCGAAGCCCUGAGUGGGCUGUGGACACAGGACGGGUGGAGGAAAAGUUGUCCAGAAACUUCUGUGAGACAGGGCAGCUGAGGCCCAGGUGUUACUAGUCCGCUUGACCUUCCUCUUUCCUAACUGCUGGCCUUUGGAUCCAAAUGGGAUUUCCCUGGCUACUGCCAGUACUUGGCCAUCUGGCUUCCAAUAAUACAAUGGUUAUUCAAGUUCAAGUGAUGAACUUCUGGUGACUCUCACUCUACAGAGUCAACCACUAGUGCAUAUUUGGGAAAUCCAGGCUUCCACCAUGAGUGGAUUCCUUAAGCAAAAAGGAAAACAAAAAGCAAAAUAGGUUAUAUUUUAAAAUAUAGAAAGGCAAUAAGUUGCAUCAAGGUUAUACAGGAAAGAAUUCAAAGUGUAUCCUUGAAUAGGUUUCUGGAGUUGGAGUUCUAAACUCUGAUUUGUAACUUGGACUUUCGAAUUGCAAAUGGCAAUAACUAGUAAGUUAUCAGCAAUAAUAAAUUUAGCAUUAAAUUUGAGUAUAAUGUUCUGUUUUUGCACUCCUCAUAUAGUGCAUAUGUAUUCAGACAAGUGGAUAGUGUUAAAGUCCUGUUAUUUUCUUUGGAAUUCAAUGUAGUUGUGAAUCAAAAUUAAGAGAAGGGAAGUUUCAUUAGCAAUGAGAUUUAGAAUUAAGGGCAUUUGGAAUAAGCCCAGUUUCCCCUAAAUUACCCUUAGUUUAUUAAUAUCAAUGUUCAGAUUCCUGACUCAUUUAUACAUCUGUUUCCAUGUGGCAGGGACAUUCUGAUAUUUAAUGAGCAAUGCUUUGAGUUUGUAGAAGCUUUCAAGUCUUCCAGAUGAUUGUCAACAACAGAAAAGGCUUAUUGAAUUCCAUCUUGCUAUGCAAGUUUUAUCAGAUGAUCAAAUGACAGAUCUGAUGCAUCUCAUCGUAUGUAUGACAUUUUCAAACUAAGUCUUAACUUCUCAAGUACAUUGUAGUAGCUAAUUCAGGGGAGGGGAAAGGAUGACCCAGGUUUUAGAUUGACUAUUUUUUGAGCUAUGGAGCUCCUUUGAGACUGCUGUCCAGAUCAGCUCGUUGCUACUGGUAUUCGAAGAUUCUCAGGAGUCCAAGUUGUACUUUUGCUUGUAGCCUAAUUUAAAAAUGAGAUGUUUUGCAUCUGAGCAAAAACCUUUUGCUGGAUACAGGAAAAGGCUGGACUCUGAUCUAGUUAUCUUUUGAUUACAGCAACAGCUCUGGGUGAGAAUAGAAUUUAUAGAGGAAUAAUCUGUGAAGCCAUAGAAAGAAACCCUAAAUUAAUCUAGUGAGUAUAUGGCCUCUCACCAUUUUAGGAGGCACCAGAUUCAUUUGCACUAUUAGGAAUGCUAGUUUUGUGCAAAAAUAAAUGCCUUACCUGUUUCCCCCCACAUUUAGGUUGAAAAGCUUUCAAAUGUUCCAAGUUAUGCUGAACCAAAAACAAAUAAAACAAAAUG
rnacentral:lncRNA from 1 species